rnacentral:rRNA from 1 species
AGAGUUUGAUCCUGGCUCAGGACGAACGCUGGCGGCGCGCCUAACACAUGCAAGUCGAACGAGCGAGAGAGAGCUUGCUUUCUCGAGCGAGUGGCGAACGGGUGAGUAACGCGUGAGGAACCUGCCUCAAAGAGGGGGACAACAGUUGGAAACGACUGCUAAUACCGCAUAAGCCCACGGGUCGGCAUCGACCAGAGGGAAAAGGAGCAAUCCGCUUUGAGAUGGCCUCGCGUCCGAUUAGCUAGUUGGUGAGGUAACGGCCCACCAAGGCGACGAUCGGUAGCCGGACUGAGAGGUUGAACGGCCACAUUGGGACUGAGACACGGCCCAGACUCCUACGGGAGGCAGCAGUGGGGAAUAUUGCACAAUGGGGGAAACCCUGAUGCAGCGACGCCGCGUGGAGGAAGAAGGUCUUCGGAUUGUAAACUCCUGUUGUUGAGGAAGAUAAUGACGGUACUCAACAAGGAAGUGACGGCUAACUACGUGCCAGCAGCCGCGGUAAAACGUAGGUCACAAGCGUUGUCCGGAAUUACUGGGUGUAAAGGGAGCGCAGGCGGGAAGACAAGUUGGAAGUGAAAUCCAUGGGCUCAACCCAUGAACUGCUUUCAAAACUGUUUUUCUUGAGUAGUGCAGAGGUAGGCGGAAUUCCCGGUGUAGCGGUGGAAUGCGUAGAUAUCGGGAGGAACACCAGUGGCGAAGGCGGCCUACUGGGCACCAACUGACGCUGAGGCUCGAAAGUGUGGGUAGCAAACAGGAUUAGAUACCCUGGUAGUCCACACCGUAAACGAUGAUUACUAGGUGUUGGAGGAUUGACCCCUUCAGUGCCGCAGUUAACACAAUAAGUAAUCCACCUGGGGAGUACGACCGCAAGGUUGAAACUCAAAGGAAUUGACGGGGGCCCGCACAAGCAGUGGAGUAUGUGGUUUAAUUCGAAGCAACGCGAAGAACCUUACCAGGUCUUGACAUCCGAUGCAUAGCACAGAGAUGUGUGAAAUCCUUCGGGACAUCGAGACAGGUGGUGCAUGGUUGUCGUCAGCUCGUGUCGUGAGAUGUUGGGUUAAGU